rnacentral:rRNA from 1 species
GACAGAGGGGGCAAGCGUUGCUCGGAAUUACUGGGCGUAAAGGGCGCGUAGGCGGGAUGGCAAGUCGGUCGUGAAAUCCUUCGGCUCAACCGAAGAACGUCGAUCGAUACUGCUGUUCUUGAGGAUUGCAGAGGAGACUGGAAUUCCCGGUGUAGCGGUGAAAUGUGUAGAGAUCCGGAGGAACACCAGUGGCGAAGGCGACACGCUGGGCCGUACCUGACGCUAAGACGCGACAGCAUGGGGAGCGAACGGG